ACCCGGUUGGUGAAACGGAUAUCACACGAAGCUACGGACUUCGAGUCAGGGGUUCAAAUCCUCUACCGGGUACAA
rnacentral:tRNA from 1 species